UACGAAGGGGGCUAGCGUUGCUCGGAAUUACUGGGCGUAAAGAGCUCGUAGGCGGUUUGUCGCGUCUGCCGUGAAAGUCCGGGGCUCAACUCCGGAUCUGCGGUGGGUACGGGCAGACUAGAGUGAUGUAGGGGAGACUGGAAUUCCUGGUGUAGCGGUGAAAUGCGCAGAUAUCAGGAGGAACACCGAUGGCGAAGGCAGGUCUCUGGGCAUUAACUGACGCUGAGGAACGAAAGCAUGGGGAGCGAACAGG
rnacentral:rRNA from 1 species